GAUGAACGCUGGCGGCGUGCCUAAUACAUGCAAGUCGAGCGAACAGACGAGGAGCUUGCUCCUCUGACGUUAGCGGCGGACGGGUGAGUAACACGUGGAUAACCUACCUAUAAGACUGGGAUAACUUCGGGAAACCGGAGCUAAUACCGGAUAAUAUAUUGAACCGCAUGGUUCAAUAGUGAAAGACGGUUUUGCUGUCACUUAUAGAUGGAUCCGCGCCGCAUUAGCUAGUUGGUAAGGUAACGGCUUACCAAGGCAACGAUGCGUAGCCGACCUGAGAGGGUGGUCGGCCACACUGGAACUGAGACACGGUCCAGACUCCUAAGGGAGGCAGCAGUAGGGAAUGUUCCGCAAUGGGCGGAAGCCUGACGGAGCAACGCCGCGUGAGUGAUGGAGGUCUUCGGAUCGUAAAACUCUGUUAUUAGGGAAGAACAAAUGUGUAAGUAAAUAUGCACGUCUUGACGGUACCUAAUCAGAAAGCCACGGCUAACUACGUG
rnacentral:rRNA from 1 species